rnacentral:rRNA from 1 species
AGGUUCGCUUACACAGACAUCACUGCGAUCACUAGCCACUUCAGAGACAAGCUGGGCCAAGGAGGCUAUGGGUCCGUGUACAAAGGUGUGCUUCCUGGUGACGUCCAUGUUGCCAUCAAAAUGUUGGUCAGUUCCAUGUCCAACGGAGAAGAGUUCAUCAGUGAGGUGUCCAGCAUCGGAAGCAUUCACCAUGUCAAUGUAGUGUGUCUGGUGGGUUUCUACUCGGAAGAAAUGAGGAGGGCUCUUGUUUACGAGUACAUGCUCCACGGAUCUCUUGAGAAGUACAUCUUCUCGCCAGAGAAGAGUUUCUCCUGGGACAAGCUCAACGAGAUUGCUUUGGGGAUCGUGAGAGGGAUCGACUACCUGCACCGAGGGUGUGAUAUGCAGAUACUACACUUCGACAUAAAGCCUCACAACAUCCUGUUGGACAGUGACUUCAUCCCAAAAAUCGCUGACUUUGGACUGGCAAAACUGUACCCGAGGGAACAGUUGGUUACAUAG